UACGAAGGGGGCGAGCGUUGUUCGGAUUUACUGGGCGUAAAGGGCGCGCAGGCGGCAGACCAAGUCAGGCGUGAAAGCCCCGGGCUUAACCUGGGAGGUGGCGUCUGGGACUGGUAUGCUAGAGUUCGGGAGAGGGAUGCAGAAUUCCAGGUGUAGCGGUGAAAUGCGUAGAUAUCUGGAGGAAUACCGGUGGCGAAGGCGGCAUCCUGGACCGACAUUGACGCUGAGGAGCGAAAGCUAGGGGAGCAAACGGG
rnacentral:rRNA from 1 species